rnacentral:rRNA from 1 species
UACCAGCACCCCGAGUGGUCGGGACGAUUAUUGGGCCUAAAGCAUCCGUAGCCGGUUCUACAAGUCUUCCGUUAAAUCCACCUGCUUAACAGAUGGGCUGCGGAGGAUACUAUAGAGCUAGGAGGCGGGAGAGGCAAGCGGUACUUAGUGGGUAGGGGUAAAAUCCGUUGAUCCAUUGAAGACCACCAGUGGCGAAGGCGGCUUGCCAGAAUGCGCUCGACGGUGAGGGAUGAAAGCUGGGGGGAGCAAACCGG